rnacentral:rRNA from 1 species
GGUUAAGCGACUAAGCGUACACGGUGGAUGCCCUGGCAGUCAGAGGCGAUGAAGGACGUGCUAAUCUGCGAUAAGCGUCGGUAAGGUGAUAUGAACCGUUAUAACCGGCGAUUUCCGAAUGGGGAAACCCAGUGUGUUUCGACACACUAUCAUUAACUGAAUCCAUAGGUUAAUGAGGCGAACCGGGGGAACUGAAACAUCUAAGUACCCCGAGGAAAAGAAAUCAACCGAGAUUCCCCCAGUAGCGGCGAGCGAACGGGGAGCAGCCCAGAGCCUGAAUCAGUGUGUGUGUUAGUGGAAGCGUCUGGAAAGGCGCGCGAUACAGGGUGACAGCCCCGUACACAAAAAUGCACAUUCUGUGAGCUCGAUGAGUAGGGCGGGACACGUGGUAUCCUGUCUGAAUAUGGGGGGACCAUCCUCCAAGGCUAAAUACUCCUGACUGACCGAUAGUGAACCAGUACCGUGAGGGAAAGGCGAAAAGAACCCCGGCGAGGGGAGUGAAAAAGAACCUGAAACCGUGUACGUACAAGCAGUGGGAGCACAGAGCAAUCUGUGUGACUGCGUACCUUUUGUAUAAUGGGUCAGCGACUUAUAUUCUGUAGCAAGGUUAACCGAAUAGGGGAGCCGAAGGGAAACCGAGUCUUAACUGGGCGUUAAGUUGCAGGGUAUAGACCCGAAACCCGGUGAUCUAGCCAUGGGCAGGUUGAAGGUUGGGUAACACUAACUGGAGGACCGAACCGACUAAUGUUGAAAAAUUAGCGGAUGACUUGUGGCUGGGGGUGAAAGGCCAAUCAAACCGGGAGAUAGCUGGUUCUCCCCGAAAGCUAUUUAGGUAGCGCCUCGUGAAUUCAUCUCCGGGGGUAGAGCACUGUUUCGGCAAGGGGGUCAUCCCGACUUACCAACCCGAUGCAAACUGCGAAUACCGGAGAAUGUUAUCACGGGAGACACACGGCGGGUGCUAACGUCCGUCGUGAAGAGGGAAACAACCCAGACCGCCAGCUAAGGUCCCAAAGUCAUGGUUAAGUGGGAAACGAUGUGGGAAGGCCCAGACAGCCAGGAUGUUGGCUUAGAAGCAGCCAUCAUUUAAAGAAAGCGUAAUAGCUCACUGGUCGAGUCGGCCUGCGCGGAAGAUGUAACGGGGCUAAACCAUGCACCGAAGCUGCGGCAGCGACGCUUAUGCGUUGUUGGGUAGGGGAGCGUUCUGUAAGCCUGUGAAGGUGUGCUGUGAGGCAUGCUGGAGGUAUCAGAAGUGCGAAUGCUGACAUAAGUAACGAUAAAGCGGGUGAAAAGCCCGCUCGCCGGAAGACCAAGGGUUCCUGUCCAACGUUAAUCGGGGCAGGGUGAGUCGACCCCUAAGGCGAGGCCGAAAGGCGUAGUCGAUGGGAAACAGGUUAAUAUUCCUGUACUUGGUGUUACUGCGAAGGGGGGACGGAGAAGGCUAUGUUGGCCGGGCGACGGUUGUCCCGGUUUAAGCGUGUAGGCUGGUUUUCCAGGCAAAUCCGGAAAAUCAAGGCUGAGGCGUGAUGACGAGGCACUACGGUGCUGAAGCAACAAAUGCCCUGCUUCCAGGAAAAGCCUCUAAGCAUCAGGUAACAUCAAAUCGUACCCCAAACCGACACAGGUGGUCAGGUAGAGAAUACCAAGGCGCUUGAGAGAACUCGGGUGAAGGAACUAGGCAAAAUGGUGCCGUAACUUCGGGAGAAGGCACGCUGAUAUGUAGGUGAAGUCCCUCGCGGAUGGAGCUGAAAUCAGUCGAAGAUACCAGCUGGCUGCAACUGUUUAUUAAAAACACAGCACUGUGCAAACACGAAAGUGGACGUAUACGGUGUGACGCCUGCCCGGUGCCGGAAGGUUAAUUGAUGGGGUUAGCGGUAACGCGAAGCUCUUGAUCGAAGCCCCGGUAAACGGCGGCCGUAACUAUAACGGUCCUAAGGUAGCGAAAUUCCUUGUCGGGUAAGUUCCGACCUGCACGAAUGGCGUAAUGAUGGCCAGGCUGUCUCCACCCGAGACUCAGUGAAAUUGAACUCGCUGUGAAGAUGCAGUGUACCCGCGGCAAGACGGAAAGACCCCGUGAACCUUUACUAUAGCUUGACACUGAACAUUGAGCCUUGAUGUGUAGGAUAGGUGGGAGGCUUAGAAGUGUGG